CAGUAGCCGCGGGAAUACGGAGGGUGCAAGCGUUAUCCGGAUUUAUUGGGUUUAAAGGGUCCGUAGGCGGAUCUGUAAGUCAGUGGUGAAAUCUCACAGCUUAACUGUGAAACUGCCAUUGAUACUGCAGGUCUUGAGUAAAUUUGAAGUGGCUGGAAUAAGUAGUGUAGCGGUGAAAUGCAUAGAUAUUACUUAGAACACCAAUUGCGAAGGCAGGUCACUAAGAUUUAACUGACGCUGAUGGACGAAAGCGUGGGGAGCGAACAGGAUUAGAUACCCCGGUAGUCCCUGUCUCUUAUAC
rnacentral:rRNA from 1 species